ensembl:lncRNA NFIA-AS2 NFIA antisense RNA 2
AAAGUCUGAACAAAACUAGACUGUGAGACUAGCACGUCCUAGAGUGGAAUUGACUGAGGUUAACGCAGAGUCUGUAAAGACUCUACAGACUCGGAUCAUUUGCAAGCAAACUAAAAUUCCCUUUUUUAAAAAAGAAAAAAAAUCAUUAAUUGGGUUCCGAUCUAAAAUACUGCUCUUAAAAUGCGCUCACAUGUUGAAGACUGAGAUUGCAAGUUCUCGAGUAAACAUCUGGUGAAGACAUUCCAGGAACACAUCUGAAAGGAAGAAAGGAACUCUCAAGGUGACUUCAUCCAUGGCGGCUGUGUGGCAGCGAGCUACUUGCGCAUCUCUUCUGUUCCGUGAGGUCAUGUUGGCAGCUUGAAAUUGAUCAAGUGGGAAGCAUUUACAUCACAGAAAUUGGUGGUCUCUCUGCGUGUCUCUGUCUUCAUGUGGUGCUUUCUUCUUCUUACAAGGACAUCAGCCAUGCUGGAUUAGUUCCCACUACUACUCUCUGGGACCCCCAAAUCAGGUGCCAAGAACAUACACUGGGGAAAAGGCAGUCUCUUCAAUAAAUGGUGCCGGGAAAACUUGAUAUCCAUAUUCAGGAGAAUGAAACUAGACCCCAAUUUCUUCUCAUAUACAAAAAUCAAAUCAAAAUGGAUUAAAGAUUUAGGCUGGGUGCAGUGGCUUACUCCUGUAAUCCGAACACUUUGGGAGGAUGAAGAGGGAGAAUCACUUGAGUCCCGGAGCUCAGGACCAGCCUGGGCAACAUAAUGAGACCUUGUCUCUACAAAAAGUAAACAAAAUUAGCUGGGCAUGAUGGUCACAUGCCUGUAGUCCCAGCUACUCAGAAGGUUGAGAUGGGAGGAUUGCUUGAGGCCAGGAGAUCAAGGCUGCAGUGAGCUGAGAUCAAGCCACUGCACUCCACCCUGGACAACAGAGUGAGACCUUAUCCCCCCCUCCACCCCAUCCCACAAAAAAAAGGAUUACAGAAUUAAAUCUAAGACCUCAGACUAUGAAACUACUACAAGAAAACAUUGGGGAAAAUCUCCAGGACGUUGGUCUGGGCAAAAAUUUUUUGAGCAAUACCCCCAAGCACAGGCAACCAAAGGAAAAAUGAACAAAUGGGAUGACGUCAUGUUAAAAAACUUCUGCACAGCAAAGGAAAUAAUCAACAAUGUGAAGAGACAACCCACAGAAUGGGAGAAAAUAUUUGCAAACUACUCAUCUGACAAGGGAUUAGUAACCAGAAUAUAUAAGGAGUUCAAACAACUCUAUAGGAAAAAAUCUAAUAAUCUGAUAGAAAAACAGGCAAAAUAUUCAAAUAGACAUUUCUCAAAAGAAGACAUCCAAAGAGUAAAUAGGCAUAUGAAAAAGUGCCCAACAUCACUGAUCAUCAGAGAAAUGCAAAUCAAAACUACAAUGAGAUAUCUUACCCCAGUUAAAAUGGCUUAUACCCAAAAGACAGGCAAUAACAAAUUCUAGCAAGGAUGUGGAGAAAAAGGAACCCUCAUACACUGUUGAUGGGAAUGAAAAUCAGUACAUGUACUAUGGAGAACAGUUUGAAGGUUCCUCAAAAAACUAAAAAUAGAGCCUACUUUACCAUCUGGCAAUCCCAUUGCUGGGUAUAUAGUCGAAAGAAAGGAAAUCAGUAUAUUAAGGAGAUAGCUACACUCCUAUAUUUGUUGUAGCACUGUGUACAAUAGCCAAGACUUGGAAGCAACCUAAGUGUCCAUCAACAGAUAAACGGUUAAAGAAUGUGUUACAUAUGCACAAUGGAGUACUAUUCAGCCAUGAAAACGAAUGAGAUCCUGUCAUUUGCCACCACCUGGAUGGAACUGGAGAUGAUUAUGUUACAUGAAAUAUGCCAGGCACAGAAAGACAAACAUUGCCUGUUCUCACUUCUUUGUGGGAUUGAAAAAUCAAAACAAUUGAACUCAUGGACAUAGAGAGUAGAAGGAUGGUUAUCAGAGGCUGGGAAGAAUAGUGGGGGUGAGUGGGGAAAAGGUGGGGAUGGUUAAUGGGUACAAAAAAAUAGUUAGAAAUGAUGAAUAAGACCUACUAUUUGAUAGCACACCAGGGUGACUAUAGUCAAUAAUAACUUAAUUGUACAUUUAAAAAUAAUGACAAGAGUAUAAUUGGAUCAUUUGUAACACAAAGGAUAAAUACUUGAGAUGGAAAUCCCAUUCUCCACAAUGUGAUUAUUAUGUAUUGCAUGCCUGUAUCAAAACAUCUCAUGUAUCCCAUAA